rnacentral:rRNA from 1 species
AGUUUGACUGGGGCGGUCUCCUCCCAAAGAGUAACGGAGGAGCACGAAGGUGGGCUAAUCACGGUUGGACAUCGUGAGGUUAGUGCAAUGGCAUAAGCCCGCUUAACUGCGAGAAUGACGGUUCGAGCAGGUGCGAAAGCAGGUCAUAGUGAUCCGGUGGUUCUGUAUGGAAGGGCCAUCGCUCAACGGAUAAAAGGUACUCCGGGGAUAACAGGCUGAUACCGCCCAAGAGUUCAUAUCGACGGCGGUGUUUGGCACCUCGAUGUCGGCUCAUCACAUCCUGGGGCUGAAGUCGGUCCCAAGGGUAUGGCUGUUCGCCAUUUAAAGUGGUACGCGAGCUGGGUUUAGAACGUCGUGAGACAGUUCGGUCCCUAUCUGCCGUGGGCGUUGGAAGAUUGAAGGGGGCUGCUCCUAGUACGAGAGGACCGGAGUGGACGAACCUCUGGUGUUCGGGUUGUGUCGCCAGACGCAUUGCCCGGUAGCUAAGUUCGGAAUUGAUAAGCGCUGAAAGCAUCUAAGCGCGAAGCGAGCCCUGAGAUGAGUCUUCCCUGAUACUUUAAGUAUCCUAAAGGGUUGUUCGAGACUAGAACGUUGAUAGGCAGGGUGUGUAAGCGUUGUGAGGCGUUGAGCUAACCUGUACUAAUUGCCCGUGAGGCUUAACCAUACAACACCCA